ACGCUGGCGGCACGCCUAAUACAUGCAAGUCGAACGAAGUAGCAAUACUUAGUGGCAGACGGGUGAGUAACAUGUGGGUAUCUUCCCUUUGGUGAGGAAUAACACGAGGAAACUUGUGCUAAUACCUCAUAAGUCUUUACGGAGAAAGCUUUAUGCGCCAUUGGAUGAGCCCGCACUUGAUUAGUUUGUUGGUGGGGUAAUGGCCUACCAAGACUGUGAUCAAUAGCUGAUUUGAGAGGAUGAUCAGCCACAUUGGGACUGAGACACGGCCCAAACUCCUACGGGAGGCAGCAGUAGGGAAUCUUGCACAAUGGAGGAAACUCUGAUGCAGCGAUGCCGCGUGAGUGAAGAAGGCCUUUGGGUUGUAAAGCUCUUUCGUCGGGGAAGAAAAUGACUGUACCCGAAUAAGAAGGUCCGGCUAACUUCGUGCCAGCAGCCGCGGUAAUACGAAGGGACCUAGCGUAGUUCGGAAUUACUGGGCUUAAAGAGUUCGUAGGUGGUUAAAAAAGUUGGUGGUGAAAUCCCAGAGCUUAACUCUGGAACUGCCAUCAAAACUUUUUAGCUAGAGUAUGAUAGAGGAAAGCAGAAUUUCUAGUGUAGAGGUGAAAUUCGUAGAUAUUAGAAAGAAUACCAAUUGCGAAGGCAGCUUUCUGGAUCAUUACUGACACUGAGGAACGAAAGCAUGGGUAGCGAAGAGGAUUAGAUACCCUCGUAGUCCAUGCCGUAAACGAUGUGUGUUAGACGUUGGAAAUUUAUUUUCAGUGUCGCAGCGAAAGCGAUAAACACACCGCCUGGGGAGUACGACCG
rnacentral:rRNA from 1 species